rnacentral:rRNA from 1 species
AGCAAUAGUUUGAUGGCGACCGGCGCACGGGUGAGUAACACGUAUCCAACCUACCGUUCACUCGGGGAUAGCCUUCCGAAAGGGAGAUUAAUACCCGAUGGUAUGCGAGUGCCGCAUGGCACUUUCAUUAAAGAAUUUCGGUGUUCGAUGGGGAUGCGUUCCAUUAGAUUGUUGGCGGGGUAACGGCCCACCAAGUCUUCGAUGGAUAGGGGUUCUGAGAGGAAGGUCCCCCACACUGGUACUGAGACACGGACCAGACUCCUACGGGAGGCAGCAGUGAGGAAUAUUGGUCAAUGGGCGCGAGCCUGAACCAGCCAAGUAGCGUGAAGGAUGACUGCCCUAUGGGUUGUAAACUUCUUUUAUACGGGAA